UACGGGAAUGUGCAAACGUUAUUCGGAAUCACUGGGCUUAAAGAGUCCGUAGGCGGCUUGUUAGGUGGGGUGUGAAAUCCCUUGGCUCAACCAAGGAACUGCGCUUCAAACCGGCAAGCUCGAGGAAGAUAGAGGUGGGCGGAACUGAUGGUGGAGCGGUGAAAUGCGUUGAUAUCAUCAGGAACACCGGAGGCGAAAGCGGCCCACUGGGGUCUUUUCUGACGCUGAGGGACGAAAGCUAGGGUAGCGAA
rnacentral:rRNA from 1 species